rnacentral:rRNA from 1 species
GAGUUUGAUCCUGGCUCAGGAUGAACGCUAGCGGCAGGCCUAACACAUGCAAGUCGAACGGUAACAGAGAAGAGCUUGCUCUUUUGCUGACGAGUGGCGCACGGGUGCGUAACGCGUAUACAAUCUACCUUUUACAGGGGGAUAGCCUUUAGAAAUGAAGAUUAAUAUCCCAUAGUAAGUUAUCAUGGCAUCAUGAUUACUUUAAAGCUUCGGCGGUAGAAGAUGAGUAUGCGUUCUAUUAGCUAGAUGGUGUGGUAACGGCACACCAUGGCAACGAUAGAUAGGGGCCCUGAGAGGGGGAUCCCCCACACUGGUACUGAGACACGGACCAGACUCCUACGGGAGGCAGCAGUGAGGAAUAUUGGACAAUGGGCGAGAGCCUGAUCCAGCCAUGCCGCGUGCAGGAAGACUGCCCUAUGGGUUGUAAACUGCUUUUAUAUAGGAAGAAACCUUUCCACGUGUGGAAAGCUGACGGUACUAUAAGAAUAAGGAUCGGCUAACU